UUUCUCACUUCAGCAGCACAUAUAUUAAAAUUGGAAAGAUACAGAGAAGAUUAGGAUGACCACUGCAUAAGGAUAACACCCAAAUUUGUGAAGCAUUCCAUAGUCUU
rnacentral:snRNA from 1 species